AGAUCUUGGCAAUAAUGUUCUGGGAGAAAUUGCUGCUACACAUAUACUGGAAGCAUUAAAGGAGAGAAACAAAGGUAAACUGCCAAACUUACAAAUUAUAGUCACCCCACAGAUUUCUUCAGAUACCUUCAGAUCAAUCUGGGAAAACAGCAAGAAGUUUGGCGCUGCCCAUAAGAAAAAGAAGAAGGCCAAAAAAUGAACUCCAUUUAUUCCUGUGAACAAACUGUUAUGGAUAUCAAGACAAUGUCGAUGAGACAUAAUAUUCCCAACCAAGAGUCAUUUUAUGAAUGUGCAAGAAUACUUUAUUCUUAAAUUACAUUGCAUUUGUCACUUUUAUAAAAAGUUGCUUU